rnacentral:rRNA from 1 species
UUAUUGGAGAGUUUGAUCCUGGCUCAGGAUGAACGCUGGCGGCGUGCCUAAUACAUGCAAGUCGAGCGAAUGGAUUAAGAGCUUGCUCUUAUGAAGUUAGCGGCGGACGGGUGAGUAACACGUGGGUAACCUGCCCAUAAGACUGGGAUAACUCCGGGAAACCGGGGCUAAUACUGGAUAAUAUUUUGGACCUCAUGGUUCAAAAUUGAAAGGCGGCUUCGGCUGUCACUUAUGGAUGGACCCGCGUCGCAUUAGCUAGUUGGUGAGGUAACGGCUCACCAAGGCAACGAUGCGUAGCCGACCUGAGAGGGUGAUCGGCCACACUGGGA